AUAUACCGGACUCAAAAUGUUUGGACUUCGAUAAACAAAUCUAUAAUCUGUAUCGGGGUCGAAUUAGGGUGAGGUCGCGAGGGUAGUGAAAGUAAACGACUUAUCACGCGUUCGGUUUCGUGUCGCAAUUGCUGAUAAAGACAAAGGAUGCAAUUUGGCUGAUUCGAUCGGUAUAUCGGUAGAGUUUCGCAAUUUAACAAAAAACUACGGUUCGUUGUGAAUUUGAAAUUUGGUAAAUAGCUGUGGUUAAUUUUUAGUUGAUGCAGUGGCAGAUGAAAGAAUGGAUAGACUAUGAAUUUCAGUAACUUUUCUGUUAAAAAUUUCUACUAAAAAUUGCUUACCAUGUUUAUAACAGCCGUCUAUUCGACGCUACAUAUUAUUUAUACGUUUAUUCGUUGCUCUUAUUAGACAUAAGUCCAUUUUGUAAAAUUAUGCUGUCUUUUCAUACUUCUUAGCCUGCAAACUUUCCUUUGUCUGCCACUGUAGGAGGAAGGAUCUAGUGUAAAUACUUUAAUCGCGUUCAUGUUCGCUAACGGUUAUAGUGCUAUAGACGAAUUGUUCGUUCGGAUAUCCUCGUAUUUAAGUAUUUAGGAUACUAUUAAGGAUAUAGUAUCGAUUCUAUUAAGGAUAUAGUAUCAAGUUUUCUAAUAAAUUUAACUACGGUGAUAUGAGAUAUGACAAAUGCAUGGAUAAAUAUCGUCCUGUCAAACUGAAACCUGAAGAAUACAUCAAACCAAUAAUUAAAUUAAUAAUUAACCAAUAAUUUUAAUAAUUAAAAAUUAAGAAACUAUUUUUUCUAGAAAGAACACGAUUACAUAAAAAUCAGUCUCGGGUUGAAAUAAACAACCAUUUUUAUCGAAUAUUAUCGCAGUCGAGAUUGAUUCGAAGACCUACGUUAACAAAAUAUUUUCUGCUCGUUUCUACAAACAUUACGUCCACCUAAUCGCCCGGCAAACGUUCCGAAUCAUUUUUUGCACGAUAACGAUUCGAUUUUAAUUACACAAUUUGCAAUUAACGAGAAUUCUGAUUUAAGAAUUUUUCGUUCUUCUAGUCGGCUUUAGACGUUUUUCAUUAAAAUAACGAUGACAAAUAAACAAGAAGAAUAAUUGCUUGGAUAGAAAAUAAUAGAUAAAAAUAUUUGAAAAUAUAGAUUCAUUACACAGGUAUUUAAUCAUUUCGGAUAACAAUAGGAAAUAAAGAUUAAUUUUCUUCCAAAUAGCCUAACAAUAACAAUUUCGUUAAAUGAAGAAAUUGAAAGGAAAGUAUAAACGCUAGUGUAUUAUAAAAGUAAACACUGUUCGAUAAAAGAAAAACCAUUAAAAAAGGAGGCUGCGUGAGAUCACGUUGAAGAUCAUUUGGAAGUUAUCAUGUUUUUGCAUAAUAUUUAAAACAGCUUCUUAUUACGUUAUAUCAUAAUCGAGUUUAGUGACCUAUGACACGGCGAUGUCAGAGAAAUCCUUUCUUAUAAUAUACCUAUCACAUAUUUUCUACUUUUGGCGUUUCUUUUAUAUAUUUCUAGUACAUAUGCGUAUAAUAUAUAUAUAUAUACAGGAUGAUUGGUAACUGGUGGUACAAGCGGAAGGGGGGUGAUUCUAGGCGAAAAAAGAAGUCGAAAAUAUAGAAUAACAAUUUUUCGUUCGAGGCUUUGUUUUCGAGAAAAUCGACUUUGAAUUUUCGCUCGGUACGCGUCGUACUUUAUCGCGUCUCGUUAUAACUGAUCUCACUGUAGAUCGUUGUCUCGCCAGUUACCAACCACCCUGUAUAUAUAUAUAUGUUUUCCUAUCACUAUUACUCUUAAGUACCUUUGUAAUAGUCUGUAAAUUAACGACAAGUUUAUAUAUACAGUUUGUAUAUAAUUACAAGUAGCAUUUGCUACCUUCUCUGCGGCAUUGACAGAUUGUAAAUUUAAAUUAUCCGCUAAUUAGCUGUCUUAGAUCGGUUUGCGAGUGGCUUGGCGAAUGAUAGAGCGAGAACCGAUACCACGGCGCUGUUAAAAAUCGUAGAAGCGAAUGAACUUUCUGUGUGUCGAAUGUGAACGAACUUCUUACAUGUUAAGUUGCGUCUGAAGUAUGUUUAAGAUACGUUAAGUUUAUAGUGCAAGACUAUGCGUGAGACAUUGUUAUAAAAGAUGGUCCAGCUAAAUGAUAUCGAAAUGACGAAUAUCUUAUUUAUUUUGUGGCGCGAGAAAGGUUCUCGAAACGAAAUUCACGCUAUUUAAAGGGAAUUUCGCUAUUUCUUCGCGGUAAUUUUUUUACGAAAUUCGAAGGUCGUGGAUAUUUUAUUAAAUGAAACUCUAUUUUUCCACCAAUUGUGCGAUAAGAAUUAUUCACAAUGUGAAUUAAACUGGUAAUACGUUGCGAUAGCUAUGUGAGCAAAAUCUAAGAAAAGCAGUUUCGCGUGGAUUUUAGCCAUAUGCAGUUAUCUAUCUAUUAAUUAAUAUCGUAUAUAAUUUAUGGAUCUAUAGAUUUUAAAGCAGUAAAAACGCGAUAACGUCGUAACAAGUUAUGAAUCCUAAUAUUUUAUCGACAGGAGACGCGAAUUCGCGUCUUACAUACUUGAUACUCUAUCCUAUAAAAACGUUAACUACUGUUGAAUAAAACAGUAAAGAGAGCAAUGAAUGGUAUACAUAAAAUGUUACGAAUGUGUUUUUACAUUAUAUACUUGAACAAUACGAAACUGUUAUCAAUAUAUUAGAUAUAAUACUGGAAGGUUCGUUUCGAUUUUUAAGGAAUUUAAUAAAAUAAUAAAUUCUAAGUCCUUGAGCAUAUCGCACUAAAAAACGUUACUAGAAGUAUCUUUAAACAUGCUCAUUGAUUUUUAAUAAAAUAUCACAUUCGUCAAAUGCUGGUGGGAAAGUUGAUUGGAAUUUUUAAGAAAUUUCGUCGACACGAAAAAUCACAUUGCAAAAUUUUUCGCCAAGAAACCUGGAACGUUCCUGAACGAUAGUCGCGCGAAAGAUGAAACAAAGUAUCAGUUAUGUAAUUCAGUAAAUGUAUAUCGAAUCGAAGUGUAAAUCAGAACGAACAUUCCGAGCGACCUUUUCAAUUUUUUCGAUGACUCAAAAAAUACAAUUUGGAGUGUUGGUUUUUUCGCCUUCAAAGUGUUCAGAAUUUUGUAUAAUAGCUUUCGGCGUGCUCGUAUGUACAACGUCUGGGCUUCUUAAUGACAGGGAUAGCGAACGUAAGAGAAAUAGAUGAAACAAAGGGAAUCUUGCGUAUCUGGUCGAAAUGCAUAUUCCCAUAAAUGCGUAUUCCCUGCGAUCGCAAGUAUAAAAAUAAUAAUUUGCAAUGUUGAAAAAUAUUGCAUCAUUCGUUUUAUGUAGUACGUUGAGUUAGGAGUAGAUCUAGAGCAGUUUCAGUUUGUUGUUUGCAGAGUGAACGUUAUAAUUGUUGACUUUGUGCCAGCGGCGAAAUAAGAGUAAAACUUAAGAGUCUCGAAACCGACUUAUUCUUAAAGGAUAAGUAGGUUUGAAAAGCAUCAGGAUCAGGAUGUAAAAACGAAUGUUUAAACCGCUAUGGUUCUUAAGUUUGGGUGCUGUGAAAUUUCUUAAGUAUUAGGCUGUUCCAAUAGUUUCUUUCGUUUUACAAGGAAAUAAUAGAUGCACAACAUUUUUAUUUGUAGCAAUAGAAUAAAAUGGAUCGUACGGAAUUCGAUAAAAUAAUAUAAAACAAAAAAUGUUGUGCAUCUGUUAUUUCCUCAUAAAAUGAAAGAAACUUUUCGGACAAGCUAAUAGAUCGGUAAAAUGUUAAAGUUAUGUGUAUUCGUAGGAAGAGGUGAUGAAAGUGCGUUGAAAGUGCGUUCUAUGUCUGUGCUUGGAGACAGAAGAUUGAAAAUGAUAGCAGACGCGGCGAACACGAUGCGGAUGUUGGAGAGAAAAAAAGUGCGAAGAUGUGAUUCGCGAACUUAUUGGCUGAUCAAAAUUGCUAUUGUGGCGGAUCGGUAUCAACAGGACGCCGACAGGUCGAGGCAUCAACGCGGCGCAACACCUCCCGGGCGAUCCGCUGGUACCAAUCGCCAACACUAGAGGGCUACGACGACAACGAGUCUGUCUAACUCGCUAGCGGUCGAAUAUACGAGCGAUUGAUACAAAUACCGCACCUAGCGAGACUCUCUCUACGUCUAAGGCAGGGACUACCGGGCAUAGCCUUACUGACGAGUCCACCGGUAGUCCCGGGACGAAACGCACGACUCUCUUUUCAUCCGCCACACUAUUUUCAACUACUCUAUCUAACUACUCUAUAUUGGCUGAUUUAAACCUGUGGCAGCCUGAAGUCAUCGUACCGAUCACGUCGAUCAUAAUCGAUGUUUAAACCAAUAGAAGAUCAAUAUUUAAAGAUCCUUGGCUAAUCUACCAAAUUUUAAUAUUCACCUAGACGGUGAAUAUCAAUUUCACGAGUAGUAAUUAAAAUACUCGCGAUGCAAUGACCAAUUGAAUACUGCCUUCGACACUCCCCUGAAUGUUUCAGAAUGAGCCCAUUGAAUAUUCAAUUGACGUUUCGGAUAUUCUAAUGACUUGAUGUUGAUUUAACGAACAUCGUUUUGGCCAAGCUAGAACUUUAUCCCAGUCUGUGUAUUUUAUGUAAUCCUGAUAGUCGUUUAGUAAUCUAAAAAGAUGACAAACACUUUAUAGUAUUAUUAGAGUCAAGACUGCCCCACUACGUUAGCUAACGUAAAGAGAUAUUUGAAUGGAAAAUUCUUCUAUGAUCUGGCAGCGAGUAUGUUCCUCCAUCUACAUCAAUGAAGCGAUAUUACGAUUAUUUAGGGCGUUUUACUUAAUUCAGUAAUUCUUAUAUUGAUCCGCAAUCUUUUAAAUUAUUCUCUAUGCUGGCUUUUAUACUGAAUUAUUUUCUAUACGCAUAUACAGAAUAUAUCUCUGUCGUUUCUUAAAUCGAAGUAUGAAUUUCUAAUCUGAUCAAGUGUAUCAAUCAAAUGUAUAUUAUACACGUAGCUUAAGAUAUCAAGUAAAAGUACGCCGAGGACUGACAAAUUUCCUUACACGAACGAACGUAAGACGAUCUAAGCGAUAAAAGGGAUACAAUGAUCCUCGGAACCAAUGACACAGAGCGUGACGUGGAUUAAAGGCAAAAUACGAGCACGAGAAGUGUUAUUGUUUGAAUAGAUUAAUGUGAGAAUAACAGGCAUAUGGAAAAACACUAAAGUUAAUGGAAUGGAUUUCACAGACUUUUACGGAACGGUAUGUUGAAUGUAAAAAAAGAAGGAAAAAAUAAUUAUAUUUGUCGCUUGAUUUCUGUUUUUUUGUAAACGAAAUAGAAUUAUACUAUUUUCGAAAGUUUAUUAAUUAAUAUGGUGGCCAUAUGAUAAAAAUGUUAUAGUAUUGUUUGGGUUAAUGUUGAAAUAGGAUUUAUCAGAAGUCAAACAUUUAUUCGUACAUAAUCUUGUAAAUGGCAAAAUAAGAUUGUGUAAUAAAUAAAAGAAGAGGGAAGAUAAAAUGAGAAUAUUUUUCUGUAAGACUUAUACUACAAUAACAUUAUUUAUAUUUGUAUUAUUAUUGUAUAAUAUUAUCUGUUUUUAUUAUUCAUGUUUUAAUAUUAAGAAAAUAUAUUAACGAAAAUUAUGCUUAA